rnacentral:rRNA from 1 species
GACGAACGCUGGCGGCGUGCCUAAUACAUGCAAGUAGAACGCUGAAGGAGGAGCUUGCUUCUCUGGAUGAGUUGCGAACGGGUGAGUAACGCGUAGGUAACCUGCCUGGUAGCGGGGGAUAACUAUUGGAAACGAUAGCUAAUACCGCAUAAGAGUAGAUGUUGCAUGACAUUUGCUUAUAAGGUGCAAUUGCAUCACUACCAGAUGGACCUGCGUUGUAUUAGCUAGUUGGUGGGGUAACGGCUCACCAAGGCGACGAUACAUAGCCGACCUGAGAGGGUGAUCGGCCACACUGGGACUGAGACACGGCCCAGACUCCUACGGGAGGCAGCAGUAGGGAAUCUUCGGCAAUGGACGGAAGUCUGACCGAGCAACGCCCGCGUGAGUGAAAGAAAGGUCUUUCGGGAUUCGUAAAAGCUUCUGUUGUAAAG